CACCAGGUUGAUUCUGCCUGACGUAGAUGCUAGUCUCUGAGAUUAAGCCAUGCAUGUCAGUGUGAGAAGGACGAACAGCUCAGUAGAACUGCGAUGAUUUAGUCUGGCGGGGAGAUAACUACGUGAAAAUGUAGCUAAGGAGGCAGAAUAAGACGCAGGACUAUCAGUUAGUUGGUAGUGUAAUGGACUACCAAGACGGUGACGGUUGCCGGGGAAUGAGGGUUCUAUACCGGAGAGGGAGCCUGAGAGACAGCUCCCACGUCCAAGGACGGCAGCAGGCGCGGAAAUUGCCCACUCUUUGCAGGAGGCAGUUAUGAGACGUGAGGAUGAGAGCCGGGUAAAGAGAGGCAGGAGAAUUGGAGGGCAAGUUUGGUGCCAGCAGCCGCGGUAAUACCGACUCCAAGAGUGUGUGUGAGAGAUGCUGCAGUUAAAAAGUCCGUAGUCGUAGAAGCAGAAAGAGGGAUUCGACCCGGGAGAGUGCGGUGGAGGAGCCGAUGGGGAGCACAGUAUACCAGGGCGAGAGAUGAAAUGCCAAGACCCCUGGUGGACACAGCGAGGCGAAAGCGGUGCUCUUGUAGGAGUCUGGUGAUCAAGGACGAAGGCUGGAGGAUCGAAAGUGAUUAGAUACCGCAGUAGUUCCAGCAGUAAAAGAUGCCGACAUGCUCGCUGGAGACAGGGGGCAGGGAGAAAUCGUAGAGUUCGGGCUCUGGGGAUAGUAUGCUCGCAAGAGUGAAAAUUAAAGAAAUUGACGGAGCUACACCACAAGGAGUGGAUUGUGCGGCUUAAUUUGACUCAAC
rnacentral:rRNA from 1 species